UACGUAGGGUGCAAGCGUUAAUCGGAAUACUGGGCGUAAAGCGUGCGCAGGCGGUUAUGUAAGACAGAUGUGAAAUGCCCGGGCUUAACCUGGGAACUGCAUUUGUGACUGCAUGGCUAGAGUUUGGCAGAGGGGUAGAAUUCCACGUGUAGCAGUGAAUGCGUAGAUAUGUGGAGGAACACCGAUGGCGAAGGCAGCCCCUGGGUCAAGACUGACGCUCAUGCACGAAAGCGUGGGAGCAACAGG
rnacentral:rRNA from 1 species